GACGAACGCUGGCGGCGUGCUUAACACAUGCAAGUCGAACGGAAAGGCCCUGCUUGCAGGGUACUCGAGUGGCGAACGGGUGAGUAACACGUGGGUGAUCUGCCCUGCACUUCGGGAUAGGCCUGGGAAACUGGGUCUAAUACCGGAUAGGAGCCAUUUUUAGUGUGAUGGUUGGAAAGUUUUUUCGGUGUAGGAUGAGCUCGCGGCCUAUCAGCUUGUUGGUGGGGUAAUGGCCUACCAAGGCGGCGACGGGUAGCCGGCCUGAGAGGGUGGACGGCCACAUUGGGACUGAGAUACGGCCCAGACUCCUACGGGAGGCAGCAGUGGGGAAUAUUGCACAAUGGGCGCAAGCCUGAUGCAGCGACGCCGCGUGGGGGAUGACGGCCUUCGGGUUGUAAACUCCUUUCGCUAGGGACGAAGCUUUUUGUGACGGUACCUAGAUAUGAAGCACCGGCUAACUACGUG
rnacentral:rRNA from 1 species